GACAGAGGGUGCAAACGUUGUUCGGAAUUACUGGGCGUAAAGCGCGUGUAGGCGGCUUGGCAAGUCGGGUGUGAAAGCCCUGGGCUCAACCCAGGAAGUGCACUCGAAACUGCUUCGCUUGAGUGUCGGAGAGGAAAGCGGAAUUCUCGGUGUAGAGGUGAAAUUCGUAGAUAUCGAGAGGAACACCGGUGGCAAAGGCGGCUUUCUGGACGAUUACUGACGCUGAGACGCGAAAGCGUGGGGAGCAAACAGG
rnacentral:rRNA from 1 species